UGCAGGUCCUUUGUAGCCUAAGCUAACUGACCACUUGCUAUGGCGUCAGGUGUGUGCCGCAUGUGGCCUUCCGGUGCACUGAACAGCGGGCCAGGGAUGAUGUUAAGUAGUUCUGAUUUCAGCGUGGAUUCCAAGAUUAAAGCUAGAUUCAUUUGAUAACAGAAACUAAGGGCGGGAUUCACGAAAUUCAGAGAGAGAACUCUAAUCUGGUCUCCUUCAUGCUAUUGGUGCCUAACCCAGCUGUCUUCAGAGAGGCUUCCUCCAGCAACUGAUGGAAACAGAUGCAGAGACCCACAGACAUACAUUAGACUGAGCGUGGGAAAUCCUGCUGGAGAAAAGGAUUGUAGGAGCCAGAGGGGUCAAGCAUGUCAGGAAAACCCACAGAAUUGACUAAGCUGGCUCAUAGGGGCUCAGAGUCUGAACUGACAACAAGAAACCUGCAUGGGAUUGAGUUGGCCCUCUGUAUACAUGGGACAGUUGGGUGGGAGCAGGGCCUGUCUCUGACACUUGCUGGCUUUUAGGACCCUACUCAUUCUGGGUCACCUUGUCCCGCCUUAAUACAAGGGGAGAUGCUUAGUCUUACUGCAACUUGAUAUUCCAUGUUUCUUUGUAUACGUGGGGGCUGUGCUUUUCCUAAACAAACCGAGGAGGCAAAAGACCCCCCACACAGUUAAAAUAAAUUCUGUUCCUGCCAAGUGGCCUACUCAGGAUUGCCACUACUAAAUUCUAAAAUUAGGCACAGUGUGGAAUGAUACAUUGUGCAUCCCUAUAUGAUUAAGUAAAAUUUUCUUAGUGGAUUAAUCUUGGUUUGGCAGUAACUUGUCUGUCAUCAUUUUGUAAGGUAAUUUGAGUUCCAUGUGCCUGAUCCCUGACUUAUCAGAGUCUUCUAAAUGCUUCAUAAUAUGAUUGUAGGCCAGCUUUGUUCCCCACUGCUGAGAGCCUAAGUCUGUCAUAUAAAACUGGCUUGUUUCUCGGGGCUUCAUGAGGAUGGGCUGGCUGUCCACAGUAGUGCUUAUUCCACGGGACUGUAGUGAUUGAUCCUGGGUUUUAAAUGUUUUCCAAAUAAAUUCCUUUUUUU